rnacentral:rRNA from 1 species
AACGAACGCUGGCGGCAUGCCUAACACAUGCAAGUCGAACGAGACCUUCGGGUCUAGUGGCGCACGGGUGCGUAACGCGUGGGAACCUGCCCUUAGGUUCGGAAUAACUCCCCGAAAGGGGUGCUAAUACCGGAUAAUGUCUUCGGACCAAUGAUUUAUCGCCUUUGGAUGGGCCCGCGUUGGAUUAGCUAGUUGGUAGGGUAAAAGCCUACCAAGGCGACGAUCCAUAGCUGGUCUGAGAGGAUGAUCAGCCACACUGGGACUGAGACACGGCCCAGACUCCUACGGGAGGCAGCAGUGGGGAAUAUUGGACAAUGGGCGAAGGCCUGAUCCAGCAAUGCCGCGUGAGUGAUGAAGGCCUUAGGGUUGUAAAGCUCUUUUACCCGGGAUGAUAAUGACAGUACCGGGAGAAUAAGCUCCGGCUAACUCCGUG